CCUGAGUAAAUCACUUCAUCUCUCUAAGGCUUAGUUUCCUUUUCUGUAAGAAGUGAAAAAUAGUAUUUAUAUUACCUUCCUAAAAAGGUUGACUUAAAGGAAGUACUUUGGAAAUCAUAUUAUAAUAUUUGAAAAGAUAAAGAAAAACCUGGAAGUAGAAAUAGACAUGGCCAAGAUAUAUUUCAGAAACAUUUUCCUUCUGUGUAUUUCUGACUCUAGACUUUACCACAAUGACUCAGAUGCCUUCUAAACCUGAAACUUCUUUCAGUUGCUGGGAUCUUUUCAUUUUAAAGCACCCACUGCCAUAUUGCUCUCUUCCUAUUGCUUUGGUGUCCACCUGUUACCCAACUCUCACCUGGAGCUCCAAAAAGCUAUAACAUUCACCAAGGACCUCACUUCAGUAAAUAUAUCUCAGCAGACUGCACUAAAACAGGGUGAGGAUAAACAAUUCUCAAACCUAUUGGUGAGUUGACAAGAUGACUAUAUCAAGCAUGUAAAGACUUUUCUGGUCUAUUGGGAAGAUGAGGACAAUUUGUUCAAACUUUCAUGAUGGUGACAGAAUCAGGCACUGUGGAAAUCUAAGAACAUGCUAAGACAUUGAAGACACAAUGAUAAAGCACUGCAUCCUGUGCCACUGAUAAUCAUCUUGACUUUUGUCUUGUCACUGAACUCUGAUGACUUUGGAGGAAGAGGGUGAGGCUGAUGAAUUUGUGGAAUGUUGCCUCUUUUAAGUCAGUUCUUUUUGUUGCUUUUUUGACUUUUAUACUAAAAAAAAUUGAUGGACAAAAUGUUAAUAAAGCAGAUGAAAAUUUUAAAGUGUGUUUUGUG
rnacentral:lncRNA from 1 species